UCUCGCAUCACAUUUUUUGGCGGCGGCGGCUCCCCACGCGCUCCUCUUCCCCUAGAUGUGGUGGCGGUCUGAUGCGGGAGGUGCUACGCCCGGCAUGGUCAUUGGCGGAUGGAGCUCUAGAGGCAGCGGUAGCUCGACAUCGACGGCGACGGCGGCCGGACAUCUUUUUCUUGAACAGGGAAGAAGGACGCGACUGAACUUAGAGAACGACCGGCGGAGAGAACAUGCUCCAUCCCAUGACCCGCGCCGCUGCUCCAACCACUGCUUCGGCAACUGCUGCUGGUUCAUGUACUUGACCGGGCCGCUGCAGCUCCAACCCAUGAAAACAAGUUACGGCGAAGUCAAAGAAUAAGGAGAAAGAAAAAUCAGAGAAGGAGGCAUCAUUGCAGGUGGAGCAAGGAGGAACAAUCAGCAGAUCUAGCAUUUAUUUUGCUCAAGCUACAGGUUAUUGCUAUAAUAAACAGUGUGCCUUCAUUCAACAGGCUAUCAUGGAGCUCUUAUUGGGCACGUUGCAGCUAGAUGAUGACAAAUUGGAUCCUGCUCAACAACACCCCAUUGUAUAGAGGUUUUUUCACGGCAAGAGCAUUUGUGUAUUUUGAAAUGCUUGGUCAUGACCUGUAUGUGCUAGAGAAAGAAUGGCUUCACAAGUUUACGACAAAACUUUGACAGGUUAGGUCUCAUUUCCAGAUGAUGUUAAAUUCCGUAUGUAUAUGUCACCAACUUACGAUAUUAUAUCCAUGGCGCACUCUGUUUAGAUAUUAGUGUAUUGGUUGUCCAUGAAGAUGUUGGCAUUGUUCACAGAAGCUAAAACCAAAAUUAUCCCGUGAUUCCAAAGGUUAAGCUGUACUUGCUUCCAGAAAUCUUCAAUCAAUUCAAAAAUCACAUUCGAAGCAAAGCACCAAGGUCACUUGAUGACUCCCAUCAGAUAAAGUCAAGAUAUUGAGCUAAGGAUCGAACCAUGCAUUGGUCAAAUUCCCUAUAUUUGUUCACAUUGUAUGAUUGUGUGGAUCUACCAUUUGUAAUAAUGUAUUAUAUUCCACAUCGGUGGGACUACCUUCUUACAAGUAUGCGAGAUGCAUGUAUCAGUGCUCUGAUGUAAUCUUGGAUCCUAUAUAAAUGCAAUUACAACUAUUUUUA